rnacentral:sRNA from 1 species
CCUGGGCCAGGAGCUUUAUUUAGCCAUCCUGAAAUCCCAUAGACCUGGAGGGGACUCCUGGGCUGGUGUCCUUGCUACAUAAGAGGACAAAAGCUCGUGAGCAAGAUCUAUCCCUGGGCAGACAGCCC